AUCCGCCUAUGCCCUAGGGCUAGUGGAAGACUUAAGAUGGCGGCGUUUGCACGGAGUGCAAUCACUGCGUCCUUACGGGGGUUGCAAGGCGUCCGAAGUAUGAGUCCACUAACAAAAGUCCAGAAACUCGCCAGUUAAUAGUAUUGUGUCUCUUCAAAAUAUCGGAGAAUAAUUUCUUUCUCGCUGAUCGCCUAACUUCUACUGACGAAGCUUGGAAGUUGCAGAAGGUUGGAGUGCAAUGGCGCGAUCUCGGCUGACUGCAACCUCCACCUCCUGGAUUCAAGCUAUUCUCCUGCCUCAGCCUGCCGAGUAGCUGGGAUUACAGGCAUGUGCCACCGCACCCAGCUAAUUUUGUAUUUUUUAGUAGAGAUGGGGUUUCUCCAUGUUGGUCAGGCUGGUCUUGAACUCCUGACCUCAGGUGAUCCGCCCACCUCAGCCUCCCAAAGUGCUGGGAUUACAGGCGUGAGCCACCGCGCCCGGCCAGAACAUUAGUUUUAAACUUCCUAACCCUUGGGAGAAGGCAAAACACUUGAUGAAAUCUACAUAAAGACUAAAACAUUUUACCAAUUUUGCAUUGUUUGUUUGAAAUUGCAUUGACGACUGGUACUGGCUCCUGUAUCACCCAGCUCUGGAGUUGAAAGAGCUCUUCAUUCCUGAGUCUCCUGUACCACUGAGAAUAGAAAUACAAAAAAAAUUCUAAAACUUGUAUGGAACUACAAAAGACAUUAAAUAAUCAAAGUAAUCUUGAGCAACAAGGACACAGCUGGAGGCAUCACUCUACCUGAUUUUGUAAUCCAUUAUCAAAAAACUGUGGUACCAGCAUAAAAACAGAUUCACUGACCAGUGGAACAGGAAAGCCCAGACAUAACUCAUACAUUUCCAUCCAAUUGAUUUUUGACAAAAGUGGCACACAGAAUGGGGAGAGGACAAAUAAAUAAAUAAAUUGUUUUGAGAUAUCUGUA
rnacentral:lncRNA from 1 species